rnacentral:rRNA from 1 species
GAUGAACGCUGGCGGCGUGCUUAACACAUGCAAGUCGAACGAUGAAGCCCAGCUUGCUGGGUGGAUUAGUGGCGAACGGGUGAGUAACACGUGAGUAACCUGCCCUUGACUCUGGGAUAAGCCUGGGAAACUGGGUCUAAUACUGGAUAUGACUUCUCAUCGCAUGGUGGGGGGUGGAAAGAUUUAUUGGUCUUGGAUGGACUCGCGGCCUAUCAGCUUGUUGGUGAGGUAAUGGCUCACCAAGGCGACGACGGGUAGCCGGCCUGAGAGGGUGACCGGCCACACUGGGACUGAGACACGGCCCAGACUCCUACGGGAGGCAGCAGUGGGGAAUAUUGCACAAUGGGCGCAAGCCUGAUGCAGCGACGCCGCGUGAGGGAUGACGGCCUUCGGGUUGUAAACCUCUUUCAGUGGGGAAGAAGCGAGAGUGACGGUACCUGCAGAAGAAGCGCCGGCUAACUACGUG